GAUGAACGCUGGCGGCGUGCCUAAUACAUGCAAGUCGAGCGAACAGACGAGGAGCUUGCUCCUCUGACGUUAGCGGCGGACGGGUGAGUAACACGUGGAUAACCUACCUAUAAGACUGGGAUAACUUCGGGAAACCGGAGCUAAUACCGGAUAAUAUAUUGAACCGCAUGGUUCAAUAGUGAAAGACGGUUUUGCUGUCACUUAUAGAUGGAUCCGCGCCGCAUUAGCUAGUUGGUAAGGUAACGGCUUACCAAGGCAACGAUGCGUAGCCGACCUGAGAGGGGGAUCCGCCAAACCGGGACUGAGACACCGGUCCGACUCCUAAGGGGAGGAGGAGGAGGGAAAUCUUCCCAAUUGGCGGAAGGCUGGACGAGGCAACGCGGCGUGGGUAUGGAGGGUCUUGGAGUCGUAAACCUCUGUUUUAGGGAAGAACAAAUGUGUAAGUAACUAUGCACGUCUUGACGGUACCUAAUCAGAAAGCCACGGCUAACUACGUG
rnacentral:rRNA from 1 species